GAAUGGGGCUGGCUGAGCACCGUGGGUCGGCGAGGGCCCGCCAAGGAAGGAGCGACCGACCGAGCCAGGCGCCCUCCGCAGACCUCCGCGCAGCGGCCGCGGGCGCGAGGGGAGGGGUCUGGAGCUCCCUCCGGCUGCCUGUCCCGCACCGGAGCCCGUGGGGUGGGGAGGUGUGCAGCCUGUGACAGACAGGGGCUUAGAGAUGCAAACAGACUCAGGGAGAGAAACAGAAGCUGAUUCUGUGACAGAAGCAGAUCUGUGCAGCACAGAUGCGGUGUGCGUGGGGAGGGGGUCGCCUGGGAGCGCAUUGCGGAGUGCUUGUGUGUGCAGAUUUUUCUCUGGGCUCAGGACUCAUUGUAUGUGGGUCAACACCUUCCUCCGUGACUGUGUUUUUGUUCUGAGCUGAGUUUUUUGGUUUGCCCUUAAAAAAAUAAUAAUUUGGCAUCCAGAGACUGGCAGACUGCCUCAGGGCCUGGACUGCGGAUAUAUUGUGUUCUGCUUGAGGUUUGGGGAGGAGGGCAGGCGGUAGGAAGGGAGAGGGGGAGCUGUUUGUCACACUUUGCUGUAGAGCUGAGAGCACCUGACAAGCUUAAGGAAGUCGUUGGGCUAUGUGGACAAGAAGGAGCCAGCUCCCAGCGGGUUCACAAGCUCUAUCGGAGUUGAAAGCGUGGUCAUGGCUCUAAGGAGCACCUCACGCCCUCCCUGUAGCUGUUAUUGCAGUUUCAGGCAGAGAUCCAGGAGCUGCAGAGGAAGGGAGAGGCACAAUAACCUACAUGGACCCAAGGGAGACAUGUGUUCCUUUAAAAAUGUGAACAGAAGGAAAAACAGAAUGUGUGCAACUGGGGGUCUGAGGAAAGACUGUUUUGAAAGAGGCUGUCAGGGAAUGGAAAGGGUUAAGCUUUUCAUCCUGAAGAACCUGCUUCCCAAAUCAGGCCUUCCUCCCAUCACUAGACCCUGAGCAGCAGCUGGUCCUAGAGACCCCCCUCGUACUGCGCUGCCACAGUCUCAUCCCAUUUCCAGCUCUGUAUUAACCACCAAGCUGCAGCGGAUGGGGCAAGACCUAAGCUCAUUAAUUUCCAGGUGGAGGAAAUGGAGGAGGGGCAGGUCCCUGCAGUAGAGGGAGGAGCAGAGAAAGGAGGCCAAGAGCUGGAUCCUUCUGCCCAGGAAGCCUGCUGCAUCCCUUCCCCCGAGCAUGGCAGAGGCCUGGCUUUGCAAGGCCAAGGCCAUAAGGGAUGCUUAGGAGAUUAAUUUGAUUCCUGACACAAUAAUCAAGCCCUAAGAGUCUCCACUGAAGCUUACUGAGGACUUCUUUCCUCUCCAAAGCCUCAGUCUAGCCUGCUAAAUAAAUUAGUAUUCAGUGAUGCCUUGGAUCAGGGCCCCUCCCCGGCCUCAGUUUCCCCAAAUAUUUAUUAAGUACCUACUGUGUGCAAUCCUUGUGUAAUUAUUAACUCUUAGGCUCUUCAUUUGCCCUCCUAAAGCAGUGUUUAGAGUCAGGCAGAGGUUAAGUGUGUUGCACCUCACCUAGAUACUUCCAGAACCUUCUCUGGGUCUGCAGAAUGUGGCACAACCUGCUUGCCCCCGCAGAGAGAAAGCUGCAGUGCACAUCCUGCAGACUGCAGGUGCUGGGCUGCCUCUGGAGUCCCAGAAGGCAAGCUUGGCUGCAGGACAGAAAGGGAGAACAGCUUCUCUCACCCCUGAGCCUUCACAAGCCCUUGUCUAUUUGCCGUUGCCUUCAAAAUAUACCUCCCCCGAAACCAGUAGCUUUCUGAGUCCUGGUGUCCCCUCCGCCCUUUCUGGACAGGUUUGGGAAGAAGAAAGCAGUCAGUGCUGGGCCUUAUUGGGGUGUGAAGCGCCUUGCUCUGCCCCUUCUGCUCACUGUGAAGGCCGCUGGAUGCUUCUCUUAGGCAUGGUUUAAGCCUCCGAUUACUAAACCCCUUGCCCCACAAACGUCCACAUUGACGAGCCUCUUUUUAGUAACUGCUUCCCCGUAAUUCCUUCAGAGGUUGCUGUACCCUUCGCUGAUGUGCUGCCCUCCUGUAAAACCUCCAGAUGCCUUCCCACGUAAUGCCCCUUUCAGAUGCUUUAAGCUGAGAGCUUAAACCACAGGUACCAUGGCUGACGCCUGCCAGGUUUCUGCUGCAGAUAAUCUAUGAUGGGAGGGGCAUAUUUUUUACUUCAUUACUUAUGUAAACUCUUGUUCCAGAAAGCUUUAAUGUGUGUGGGAGUGUUCUGGGUCUAUUAGGUCUGUGCGCAUGGGUGUGGGCAUUUGCCUGUGUCCACCGGGUGGGUCUCAUUAUGAAAUGUAUGUUUAUGUAGGGCUUUAAUGGCUGAAAAUGGCAAAGAGAUGAAUAGACCACUUGGCCCCAUGUGUAAUUGCCAGGCCCCUUCUGUGCUCAAAUGAGGUGUCCGAGUGAAGGUCAGCCCUUCCCUUCUGUAUUUGGGGCCUAUUUAUGCCACCAGUAAUUUUAUAAGAAAUCUGAAUAGUUCUCCCCUUUGAGUGCAUUUAACUCUUUAGUAUCUUCUCUCUUACCUAUUUGAGCCCCUCUAGCUACAGUCUGGCUUAAAUGAAAGGGGAAUUAUAUGCUUAAGAAAAAGUAGGACACGGUUGAGGCAGUUUGCUGACUGAAUACGCGAAGAAGGACCUGAUGGGCUCAUAUGCACCACUGCCAUCACAGUCCCCAUCGUGAUGCAAGCUUAUAUGAUUCUUGAGAAACAGCCCAGAUCUCCUCUUAAGCGGAAAAGAGAUUGACCUUCUAGCAGAGGCAAAGGUAAACUCCUGUAAGUUACUUCUGUUACCAAAGGGAGGGGGGCGGCUUUUGUGAAUGUAUGAGGAGCUUUUGCCAGAGAGAUAUUCGGAGGAGGGGUGUGCCCAUAUGCACACAUAUAUUUUCCCGCAUAACCGUAUCCAAUGCUAGCAUUUAGAGGAAGGCAUUUAGCCACCAAAAGUCCAUCCAUCUAUGCUGCUUCCACAGAGAAAACAUUUUCUCUUUCCUCCUCUUGAACUUACAUAAUAUCCUCCUCCCAUUCCAACCUUAGAAUGGAGUCUUCUGGGGGCAGCUGCAAAGCGUUCUCCCUAGGACAGAUGGAGCCUCCCUUUCCUCAUCUACUCUGUGGGUGGUUUCAGGGCCCACGAGUCAACAUGAGGAGUUGUGCUGGUGGUAUGUGUGUUGGAGGCUGGGCUGGCUGAUUCACAGUGACGAGGAUGUCAAUAAUAACAAGAAUGAGAAUGAUGGUACCUAAUAAAGACUUUUU
ensembl:lncRNA MIR124-1HG MIR124-1 host gene